rnacentral:rRNA from 1 species
GACGAACGCUGGCGGCGCGCCUAACACAUGCAAGUCGAACGAGAGAUGAGGAGCUUGCUCUUCAGAUCGAGUGGCGAACGGGUGAGUAACGCGUGAGGAACCUGCCUCAAAGAGGGGGACAACAGUUGGAAACGACUGCUAAUACCGCAUAAGCCCACGGCUCGGCAUCGAGCAGAGGGAAAAGGAGUGAUCCGCUUUGAGAUGGCCUCGCGUCCGAUUAGCUAGUUGGUGAGGUAACGGCCCACCAAGGCGACGAUCGGUAGCCGGACUGAGAGGUUGAACGGCCACAUUGGGACUGAGACACGGCCCAGACUCCUACGGGAGGCAGCAGUGGGGAAUAUUGCACAAUGGGGGAAACCCUGAUGCAGCGACGCCGCGUGGAGGAAGAAGGUCUUCGGAUUGUAAACUCCUGUUGUUGAGGAAGAUA